rnacentral:rRNA from 1 species
UGGGGAAUUUUGGACAAUGGGGGCAACCCUGAUCCAGCCAUGCCGCGUGCAGGAUGAAGGUCUUCGGAUUGUAAACUGCUUUUGUCAGGGACGAAAAGGAUUGUGUUAAUACCAUGAUCUGCUGACGGUACCUGAAGAAUAAGCACCGGCUAACUACGUGCCAGCAGCCGCGGUAAUACGUAGGGUGCAAGCGUUAAUCGGAAUUACUGGGCGUAAAGCGUGCGCAGGCGGUUCUGUAAGACAGAUGUGAAAUCCCCGGGCUCAACCUGGGAAUUGCAUUUGUGACUGCAGGACUAGAGUUCAUCAGAGGGGGGUGGAAUUCCAAGUGUAGCAGUGAAAUGCGUAGAUAUUUGGAAGAACACCAAUGGCGAAGGCAGCCCCCUGGGAUGCGACUGACGCUCAUGCACGAAAGCGUGGGGAGCAAACAGG